GACGAACGCUGGCGGCGUGCCUAAUACAUGCAAGUAGAACGCUGAUGCAGGAGCUUGCUCUCCUGGAUGAGUUGCGAACGGGUGUGUAACGCGUAGGUAACCUGCCUCGUAGCGGGGGAUAACUAUUGGAAACGAUAGCUAAUACCGCAUAACAGUAGUUGUUGCAUGACAUUUGCUUAAAAGGUGCACUUGCACCACUACCAGAUGGCCCUGCGUUGUAUUAGCGAGUUGGUGGGGUAACGGCUCCCCAAGGCGGCGAUACAUAGCCGACCUGCGAGGGGGAGCGGCCACACUGGGAGGGAGACACGGCCCAGACUGCUACGGGAGGUGGCAAUAGGGAAUCUUGGGAGAGGGAGGGAAGGCUGGCCGAGAGAAGCCGAGUGCGUGAAGAAGGUUGUCGGGUCGGAGAGCUCUGUUGUAAGAGAGGAACGAGUGUGAGAGUGAAAAGUACGCAUGGUGACGGUAUCUGACCAGAAAGCGACGGCUAACUACGUG
rnacentral:rRNA from 1 species